UACGAGAGGCCCAAACGUUAUUCGGAUUUACUGGGCUUAAAGAGUUCGUAGGCGGCGCGGAAAGUAGGGUGUGAAAGCCCUCGGCUCAACCGAGGAAUUGCGCCCUAAACUACCGUGCUCGAGGAAGCUAGAGGUGAGCGGAACUGAUGGUGGAGCGGUGAAAUGCGUUGAUAUCAUCAGGAACACCGGAGGCGAAGGCGGCUCACUGGGGCUUUUCUGACGCUGAGGAACGAAAGCCAGGGGAGCGAACAGG
rnacentral:rRNA from 1 species